GGCCAGUCCCUUCUCGCUCUCAGUUCCAAGCGGAUGUAGUGGGAAAGAAAGUGAGUGUGGAGUGACUGGGUGAGAAUGAUUGCCUUGCCCACCAGAGAGCCUCCUGGAAUAUGGAAUAGAUUAGGACACCCGGAAGCUGUGAACACCACAGGUCAUGCCGAGUGGAGCGGUUGGCACAGGUGUUAUUGUGAUUCGCUACCCCCAGAGCUGAGAGACAGGAGAGUUGCUAAAAUCCUACCUGCAUCUUCAGUCAGCAAGCCAUCUCAGCAUGGAACCUACAGCAGGGACUCCACACCUUCCCCCACCAGACACAAGCUGUUCCCUCUGCUGGAACAGGAACCGGGUUGACCCCUUGAGUGUGAAGAGUCAACGUCGACACCAAAGCAUUGUGAAUUUUCCUUUCUCUUCCUUCCUGGGUCCCUCCCUGAGCAGCAUCAUUUGGGAGGCGAUGCUUUGAUCCCGGAAGACAGCGUUGUGAACGGAGUUUGCAGAUUUUGACGGAAAAGCCUGUGUUUCCGCACACAUAGCUUUGGCCCUGCUUGCUUGUUUGAGAGCAGAGCGGACAGAAUGAGCUGCCUGGGCGACCUACGCCUUUGGCAAGUUCGGAGGGCCUGAGAGGAAGAGGAGAGGGGACCAAAGGGCUCCACGUCUCAGGCUAAAAACAGCCAGCCUGGGGCUCCUCUUCUUCCUGUUCCAGUCACCUCUUCUCACAGGGAGAGCUUUUGAAAGGGCCCCCCCGCCCCAUCCCUCUGCUCCUUCCCUCCCUUCUUCCAGUGCGUCUGUGACGCCAGUUCAUUUGAAUGGCAAGCUUUUUCUGAGCUGGGAUAAGCGAGAUACAGGAAGUCACUAUUGAAAGGCUUCUUUAUGCUUGUUGUCAUCAUCACCUUAGUAUGAGGGCCAUCCAGAGUGACGGAAGCAGAAGCCUGGGCCAGCCAGGGUGCUCGGGGACCCAGAGGUGAUAGCAACCCAACCGAUCAUUCGCAGAGGUCAAGGGCCACACUGAGGUGAUGAACUUUGCUUCCUUGGGUCACAUGAGCGGAACUUCAGAUCACACUCUGAAACUUUGGGGUUUUUUAGAAGCUUUGUUGUUCUGCUAAUGACAUUCUGGGUGAGGAGGGCAAACUGAAACACCAAAGUACACCCUCCACCAAAAAAUAAAUUCUUGAUGCUUUGUGUACCUGCA
ensembl:lncRNA